GCCUAGCCCUAAACACAAGUAGCAAGUUAUUUAUGCUACGCGCCCGGGGACUACGAGCAAGAGCUUAAAACCCAAAGGACUUGGCGGUGCUUUAGACCCACCUAGAGGAGCCUGUUCUAGAACCGAUAACCCCCGUUCAACCUCACCCUCUCUUGUUUUUCCCGCCUAUAUACCGCCGUCGUCAGCUUACCCUGCAAAGGCCCCACAGUAAGCAAAAUUGGCAUAGCCCAAAACGUCAGGUCGAGGUGUAGCGUAUGAGAGGGGAAGAAAUGGGCUACAUUAACUGGCACAGUUCACACGAACGAUGUGUUGAAACAAACAUCUAAAGGAGGAUUUAGCAGUAAGAAGGAAAACAGAGCGUUCCCCUGAAAUUGGCCCUGAAGCGCGC
rnacentral:rRNA from 1 species